rnacentral:pre_miRNA from 1 species
UCUUCUGGAUGAACAAAGAAAACGGUUUCUUGAGAUCGAAUCUAUUCUUGGUGAAGAUGCUAUGAA